CUUCGGUCAACGGCCCAGAUCUAGCCACAAGCGAGAUUCAGGGUCACCUCGAUAUUGCAGCAUCGCUGAGAGCAUUCACAAAGUGCCUGCAUCAUUUUUUUUUCUUUGCCGCCCCUUCGCGCAGAUUCUCUUCUGUUUGGUGCUCCGUCUUUUCUUUUUUCAUUCGCUUUGUGUUGUCAAAGUCAGAAGCAUUAGGGUCGUCGUGGCACGCUCUAUGAGCGACGAAAGAAAAACUCUGCACGAUGGAAAGGGUAGACAACAAGUUGAGCUCUAUAAAAAGUGGGCAAUGCGUUACCUGGCAUCAGUUGCAGCUGCCGUGGUGUGUGGAAAAGGUUCUUGCAAGCUAGAAAUCAUCAGCAAACAUGCGUGGAAUGAGCAUAUCAACUGCCAUCACUUUGGGUGUCCUCCUCUUCUGCUGGGCUGAUGUGACAUCAGCCGGAUAUCCCGUUCACUUCUCUUCGUACGGCGCCGGUCCUGUGCCCCAAGGUCUGCCUCAGCAGCCUCAAACCGGUUAUGUGGCGAGCGGGUCUCGGAAAGGGGGUCCCGUGUACGUCAUUCGUACACUCACCAAUGGCGAGACCCUAGCCGAGGCUGCGCAAGGAGGAUUCGAAGGAUAUGCUAGCAACCCUGUGCCGUCCACCGUGUUCUUCCACCACGGCAAGCAGUACACUUUUGGAAAGCCAUUCAGCACUGGACAUGUUCCAGCGCACUGGGUGUAAAUCGCCAGUGUACCAUCGACGGCGGCACGAAUACCAAAAAAAAAAAAAAAAACGUGAAACGGCACAUUUGCGGCUGGAUAGCAAGUGUAGCCAGAAGUUCCAAAGAAAUACUCUUUUUUUUUUCUUUCCCUCUUGCGCUUGCUUGUCAAGAGGAAGGGAUGUAGCGCCAAAGCUGCGCAAUCGCAGUUUUUGUUUCAAUCAACAAGUAAUAAAAGGUGUAA